rnacentral:lncRNA from 1 species
GGGUUAAACAGGUUAGACAGGUCUAAACAGGUUAAACGGGUCUAAACAGGUCUAAACAGGUCGGGUUGGGCAGGUUAAACAGGUUGGGUUGGACAGAUUAAACAGGUCUAAACAGGUUAAAUGGGUCAGGUUGGGCAAACAGGUUAAACAGGUCGGGUCGGAUUGGGUAAACAGAUUACCUGUUUAUUAAACAGGUUAAACGGGUCGGGUCGGGUUACCUGUUUAAUAAACAGGUCAGGUUCAG